GUCGACGGGGGUGAGAACGUCGCGGGAAAUAUUCCCUCGCUAACCCCCACUUUGGGCUACACAGCGGCCUUGGAGAGGACCACACUCUACAGGAAAAACAUCAGGCUUGCAAAGAUGUUUACAAUAGCAGAGGCAUGGAGUUGGUAGAAGAGAAAGAUCUCCAAGCAAAGAAUGGGUUUUCCCUGAGAAGGUCGCAUCCCAUGCAGACAAACCAUUUCGCCUCACCGGGAAAGCUGAACUCAGACCCCUGUGAGUUGUGUUCAUAGUGCUUUACGUCCAACUCCUUAAAACUGUGGUGGUGGCUUACGCCUGUCAUCCCCGCACUUUGGGAAGCUGAGGCGGGCAGAUGAUGAGAUCAAGAGUUUGAGACCAUCCUGGCCAACACGGUGAAACCCCAUCUUUACUAAAAAUACAAAAAUUAGCUGGGCGUGGUGGAGCGUGCCUGCAGUCCCAGCUACUUGGGAGGCUGAAGCAGGAGAAUCACUUGAACCCGGGAGGCAGAGCUUGCAGUGAGCCGAGAUCGUGCCAUUGCCCUCCAGCCUGGUGACAGAGCGAGACUCCGUCUCAGAAAAACAAAAACAAACUGUGGCAUCUUCAAGAAGAUGGCAUUUUAUCCAAUUCCCCUUUAAUGAGAAUGUGAGCUUAAGUUAGGCUAACUUUUAUCUCUCUGUUGUCCCUAAUCGGACUAAGAAAAGCCACGUGAUCUUGAGCAGAACAAGGAACAUUUCAGCCCCCCAGCCUGUAACAGAGAAGCUCAAGAUGCCACAUGGCGAGGCUCUGCAGCCCGUCUGCUCAAACCUGCCCACACCGCACCUUGCUCCCGGGAGCCCUGAACCCCUCGCCGAGUCUCAGGCUGAGCAGGGAUCUCAGAUCUGGCUGCCCAUUAGAAACCUGGUAGGCUCUCACCCAAAGCAAAGGAUGCUGUGAUCCCCUCAGCAGGUCCUGAGAGAGGACUCAGCCACUGCACACGCACACUGGUCUCUGGAGGGGCAGCCACGUUCUAUCGUGGUAACGUCUGCCCCAUGGCAGGGACUGCUGACUGUCCCUACGCUCUCCUCCUUCCUCUUGGUGAUGGAAGCUACCACCCGCCGAGUUGUAGAUGCCCACAGUUCCUGGACCCUGUGCAGCUGGCUAUGGCACAGAGACUGCAUGUGGGACAAUGGGAAUACUACCAAAGGCGAGGAAGACAAUUUCCAGGUGAUCUUUUUAAAGUCCAGGCCACUUGUCCCGACUUCCUAUCUCCCUUCCCACAGAGAGGCUGAGGAGUGAGGUGAGCCAGCCUCCAUCCCAUGGGAGAGAACCACAUGACGGUGGAGCCACACGUCCACCAGAGCCUAAAUGCUGGGGCCCCGAGUGACCGCACGGAACCACGCUGCCCCAGGCACAGGAGCACUCAACUCUGUAGCCUCACCAGAGGGAGACGGCGCUGCCUGCCCGAGCCGCUUCACACUCAGACCUUUUCAUUACAGCAGAUUCAUCUACUCACAACAAAGGGGUUGUGAGUUCUCCAAGAACAUGUUUUUAAAUAUCUUUCAGUAAAUCUAUUACAAGUUCUCAUUAGAUUGAAUUUAUUCUUAAAUUUUUUAUCUCAGUUGCUAUUAUAAAUAAAUUAAUUUAUUCCAUGCCAA